UACUCGAGCGGCGAACGGGUGAGUAACACGUGAGUAAUCUGCCUCUGGCUUCGGGAUAGCCACCGGAAACGGUGAUUAAUACCGGAUAUGACAUCUUCACGCAUGUGAUGGGUGUGGAAAGUUUUUUCGGCCAGGGAUGUGCUCGCGGCCUAUCAGCUUGUUGGUGGGGUAAUGGCCUACCAAGGCUUCGACGGGUAGCCGGCCUGAGAGGGUGACCGGCCACACUGGGACUGAGACACGGCCCAGACUCCUACGGGAGGCAGCAGUGGGGAAUAUUGGACAAUGGGCGGAAGCCUGAUCCAGCAACGCCGCGUGAGGGAUGACGGCCUUCGGGUUGUAAACCUCUUUCAGCACAGACGAAGCGCAAGUGACGGUAUGUGCAGAAGAAGGACCGGCCAACUACGUGCCAGCAGCCGCGGUAAUACGUAGGGUCCGAGCGUUGUCCGGAAUUAUUGGGCGUAAAGGGCUCGUAGGCGGUUUGUCGCGUCGGGAGUGAAAACACCGGGCUUAACUCGGUGCUUGCUUUCGAUACGGGCAGACUAGAGGCAUUCAGGGGAGAACGGAAUUCCUGGUGUAGCGGUGAAAUGCGCAGAUAUCAGGAGGAACACCGGUGGCGAAGGCGGUUCUCUGGGAAUGUCCUGACGCUGAGGA
rnacentral:rRNA from 1 species